AACACGAAUAAUUUCUACUCUCCCUCUGUUCUGCACUCUAUAUAAGGAACCGCUCAGCGCAGCUGGAAUAUUUUAUCUGCUGUGGUGGCAUCAUUAGAAAGGAAGUUCCUCGGACUAUAGAUAUUCAGCAUGACAAUACUUAGGAAAAUUUUGAUUUCGUCUCUGAUGGCUUUCAUUAUGGCAGAACUUGCUCUAGCAGGCAUCCUGGGCCAUAGCGGUGUCGUAUUCCAUGUGGAUAAAUAUGGACAUUGGUCAGGCCAUAGUUCUCAUUACGACUACCGAUUCUAUCCUGAAAAGAACAUUAUUGAUCAUAUUCCACUCAUCGACCAUCACCAUAACAUCAUAGAUGAACACAGCCACUUUGACGACAUUCAUUCAGAUGCUUAUGAUUUGCUGGAUGAUGGAUACCAUGGUAGUCAGCCAAUUUAUGUUUUCGUUCAGAAACGUCAUCAUGAUUACCAUUAAAGAAGAGAGAAUGCCAUUUUUCCACGGACAAGAAAAAAUUUCAAUAAAGGCAAAAUUUCUGACGUGAACAGGCUGAAGACAGUGAACCUUACUAAAGGAACAGUUUAUACAUCAAAAGCUGUACAGAAUUUUGUCCAAGACACUGUGCCACAUGAAUAGUUGUUUGAGUAAAAUUCUUUAUAAUUUAUACACUAUGCAAUCACAAAUAGUUAUGUACAUAGUUCAUUGUAUCACAAAUAAAGUCAUAUGUAUUUUACAGCUUUCUCUCUCCAAUUAUUUCGAAAAUAGUAUGAUAAAAACUAGCACAGAAAUGAAAUUAGUUGUCUUCACCAUUCUUAGAAAGCAUAAGCUUCACAUACAAUUUUGUUUACAAUGUUCAGAAAAGGCAGUUUUUACACCUUAAAUAUCGAUCCUAAACAUAUAUUUUCACACACAAAAUUUCAAGAAAUACGAUAGAGAAUUUAAUAAGAAUAAUUUCAAAACUAUGUUUUCAACAAUAGCAACAAUAAAAAAACUUAACCUUUUAUAUGACCUUCGUUGAGUAAAAAAUAGCCGUUAAUAAAUUAUUUAUAUUUUAGUGAAAUAAAAACAACAUUAUUCAUACCUUUACGUAAAAAGACAGCGAGGAUUAGCUUUAUAAAUAUAUCCAAAGAAGGCUCCGCUUUAAUAAUAAAUGCCGCUUUGGUCAGAUCAAAACAUUAAGCUUCCAAAACAAGAUUUUUUUUUUGUAGCUGCUCCGUAUAUCUGCAAUUUUGAGGUCUCGAAUGCACAUUAAUACAUUCUCCACCCAAUCAUGCUUGUGCAAUUAUUCUAUAUAUUGUUCAAAAAUCUUCAGAAUGGUACUUGAAAAAGAUGGAACUCUUUUGGAAAGAACUCAUGAUCGUCGAUGAAGUAAAUCUCACUACGUUAAGUCUGGAAUAAAGCUAAAAGUGUACGGCCAACUCAGGGCUGAAAAUUCCCGAAGUAAUCCUUGCCAACUGCAAAUGUAAAUCUUACCGAACUGGCUCUUGAAAUUAUCUUUGGUAUUCAAUUACUAUUGAGUGAAGAAAAAAUGUACAUACAGAUUUAAAAAAAAUACAGUGCCGGAUCUUUGAUUUUUCUGAUGUGGGGAAAGCUAAAACUGCCGCUCUCACCCAUCAUUCUUUAGGUUUCUCUAACAAGUUUUAAUUUGUUUAAUAAAUACAGAAAUAGGUAGGGUUUUCAAGUAAAAACCUAAGCUCCAUUUUAUACUAAAUUCCUUAAGUGCCUUUUGUAUUGUUUUGUUAUAAAGGAAAAAUGCGUACCAAAGUUACAUAAUUAGAAAAUCGUCCCUUCCUAGGAGAACCGCCUUUCUGGUGAGCUUACUUUCGGAUUUAAUCCUAAUCCUAACUCUAAUACUGAAGUGCUUCUAAUUCUCCAGUCCUCUAAACCAUUCGUUUUUUCACUCUAGGGGGGAAGGAGUAUCUCCUAAGCUUCUCACUAUUCGAUGUUAUUGCAUACUGGUUAAAUUACGUUAGGUUAGAUUAUAUAAAUAUGGCAAAGACAAUUGGGCUAUCUGCUUAGAGGAGAGGUGCUUUCGUGGAGGAACGUUUUAAAGGAAACUGGCUCGUAUUCACGUUACACAUGAAGAAAUCCACAAAAACAAACCAUGCAGCCAUCCCGUUCGCCUGGGUUUGAACCCAGGCAAGGUUGAACUACCAGUAUUCGGUCUUAAUGACUCGGCCACUGCUGAUCACAUUUGUCUGAUCAUUUAACCAUGUGUUUCGCCAUUAGGCACUGCAUGGAAAAGGAGAAAUGCCCUGUGGAAAAAAAAAAAAAAAAAAAAAAAAAAAA